GAAUAGGCAUCGGAUCGCAA
rnacentral:miRNA from 1 species